UCUCUGCAAUAUUACUUUACACCUAUUAACCCUAAUACUCUCUCUCUCUUUUCUUUUUCUUUUUUUGUUUGAAAUGAAAUGAACUCUCUCUCUCUUCUCCUGAACUCUCUUCUCCAAAUCCACUUUCCCUCCUUACAGCGUUCGCCUGCUACCGAGCCAUCGCCUCCUCGCCCAACUAGUUGCCCCAUCAUCGCUCACGACCUCCUCCACUCGGUCUCUAUUUCAGCAAGCUAUCUCCUUCUCUCCUUACACUCUCUGUAUGGUAUUUCUCUCACUCACCCUUCUCUAUCGAUGUCUCAUGUGCCUGUGUUUGUUUCUCUAUCGGUUUUGCCUUUCUCUCCCUCAUUCCAUCUCUAUCUCUCUAUGUUUUUUGCUAUCUAUAUUUAGCUAACUUUUUUUGUUCAUUUGCAGGUGAAAGGUAAAGUCAUUUAAAGCCAGAAAUUUCGAUACUAGUUUAAAUUGAUUGUGAAUAUGUUUCGAAUUGUAGUGCUUUAUCUACAUUAAGGCCUUUUUUAUGCUAAAUGAUGGGUUUUGAUCAA